CCAGUGGCUCCGUGCUGCUGCCUGACCCCCGACCCGGCAGCAGCACGGGGCCUUUAC
rnacentral:sRNA from 1 species